GAAAGGGCAGUGACGAGGAGUAGUAGGCGAGCCGUGUCGUCCGAGAGAGUUGGCGGAUGGUGCGAGCCAAUCGACACGUCGCCGAACUCGCCUCCGAGCCAGAAUCCGUGAACUUCGAGUAGCGGGUUCCGCCUGGCCCCCGUGACGGGCUGCAAUGAAGGGCGCCGAUCAGGGAACCGACCGGUGCCGAAACAGGGUGGUACCACGGAGCGCGUCAAGCCUUCGUCCCUGAU
rnacentral:ncRNA from 1 species